GAUGAACGCUAGCGGCAGGCUUAAUACAUGCAAGGCGAAGGGGCAGCAAUGUCACUGUCGUACGGGUGCGUAACGCGUAUGCAACCUACCUAUCACUGGGGGAUAGCCCGGGGAAACCCGGAUUAAUACCGCAUAAAACAGGGGCACCGCAUGGUGAUAUUUGUUAAAGAUUUAUUGGUGAUAGAUGGGCAUGCGUUCGAUUAGCUAGUUGGCGGGGUAACGGCCGACCAAGGCGACGAUCGAUGGGGGAGCUGAGAGGUUGAUCCCCCACACGGGCACUAGGAUACGGGCCCGACUCCUACGGGAGGCAGCAGUAGGGAAUAUUGGGCAAUGGAUGCAAGUCUGACCCAGCCGUGCCGCGUGCCGGAUGAAGGCCCUCAGGGUUGUAAACGGCUUUUAUUCGGGAAGAAGAGCAGGGAUGCGUCCUUGUGUGACGGUACCGAAUGAAUAAGCACCGGCUAACUCCGUGCCAGCAGCCGCCGUAACAC
rnacentral:rRNA from 1 species